rnacentral:rRNA from 1 species
UACGUAGGGUGCAAGCGUUAAUCGGAAUUACUGGGCGUAAAGCGUGCGCAGGCGGUUCUAUAAGACAGAUGUGAAAUCCCCGGGCUCAACCUGGGAACUGCAUUUGUGACUGUAGAGCUGGAGUGCGGCAGAGGGGGAUGGAAUUCCGCGUGUAGCAGUGAAAUGCGUAGAUAUGCGGAGGAACACCGAUGGCGAAGGCGAGUCUCUGGACAGUUACUGACGCUGAGGCACGAAGGCCAGGGGAGCAAACAGG